GACCUGAUGGUGCAACGGUUAGCACGCUUGCUUCAAGUGUUAAGGUUAUCCAGCGAAAUAAUUUCAGUAAGAAACCCCCGUUCGACUCGGGGUCAGGUCU